UACAGAGGGCGCAAGCGUUGUUCGGAAUUACUGGGCGUAAAGGGCGCGUAGGCGGCCUGCUAAGUCGAACGUGAAAUCCCCGAGCUCAACUCGGGAACUGCGUCCGAUACUGGCAGGCUUGAAUCCGGGAGAGGGAUGCGGAAUUCCAGGUGUAGCGGUGAAAUGCGUAGAUAUCUGGAGGAACACCGGUGGCGAAGGCGGCAUCCUGGACCGGCAUUGACGCUGAGGCGCGAAAGCCAGGGGAGCAAACGGG
rnacentral:rRNA from 1 species